CCCGGGCCUUGUACACCACCGCCCGUCACACCACGAAAGUCGGUAACACCCGAAGCCGGUGGGCUAACCCCUCGUGGGAGGCAGCCGUCGAAGGUGGGAUCGAUGAUUGGGGUG
rnacentral:rRNA from 1 species